rfam:Myotis davidii contig153710, whole genome shotgun sequence.
GGCGGUUCUCGGGUGAUGCACCCCGGAAUUGGGCUCCCUCCUCUCUGGUUCCGAGUUCAUCACCCGAGAACCGCA